rnacentral:misc_RNA from 1 species
AAGACUAUAGACCUGCGGAGUACCUGCGGAGGGAUCAUUAUCAAUUUACAGCGGACUUCGGUCCUGUCUGCACCCUUGUCUUUUGCGUACUAUAUGUUUCCUCGGUGGGCUUGCCUGCCGAUAGGACACUUAUAAACUCUUUUGUAAUUGCAAUCAGCGUCAGAAAACUAUAAUAGUUACAACUUUCAACAAUGGAUCUCU